ACUACAGGCGGGACCAGGCCUCCUGUCUCUGAAUCUGGAAUGUCGGGAUCUUCUAAAACCUACCAGUUAAAGGUCGCUUCGUCAUUUCCGGCCAAAAUACCUUCGGGUAACGCAUUCCGAGGACGCAAGAUAACGGUGCCCUCGUUUGACCCGGAAAAGGUUUGACGUAAUUUCAUUGCUGAACUUCGUGAUACAGCCCCCAACGAAAAAAAAGCGCAAGACAGCAGGGGGCUCAAAUGUUACCUGGAGGAAGCGGGAACAGGAUGGGACGAUUAUACCGCAACGUAUGAGAAAAACUCAAUCUGUUAAAUCUGGCCACACUAGUCAGUUUUCAGAAGCUGAGGUGUCACAGACUGAUGAUGAUCCUCCAGAGCUCCCAAACCUUGAGCAACAUCUUCAGGAACUCAGGGAUCUCGUGAACUCUGC